rnacentral:lncRNA from 1 species
GGCGUUCGUCCAGCGAGGAGGUGGGCAGGCUCCAGCCCGAAUGGCCAGAGUACUGUCCCUGGGAGUUGAUCGCACCCUGGGUCCAGGAUGUCCGCAGGGUGGACGACCCUUGGAGUCACCGGUGGGAGGACACGGAUGACGAAAGCGAUGAUGACGUGGAUUUUCGGUGGGCGGUCGGUGCCGGGAUGGCUCCGCCCAGCGUGCGCGUCCGAGAUCAUCGCGGCGUCCGUGAUGACCCAUGUGACUUCCAGGGGUACGAGGUGGACACGGACGACGACCAGGAUGACGCCGUUUGGGCAGUCGGUGCCGGGAUGGCUCCGCCCAUCGCGCCCGUCCAGGAUCGUCACGAGGUCCGUGGAGACCCACGUCCCUCCCAGCAGUGUGAGGAAAGCUGGUGGAAGAGGGCGACGGGAGGUCGCCAGCCAGCAACUGCGCUGCCGGGACUGCCUCGCAGGGAAUCCUCCAUUCCUGCUCCAGUCGCCGACCCGCCUUCCCUCUGCCCGGACGUUCCCCAGCGAAAUGGCAGCGCAGCACCAGCGUCCACACCUGCUGGAGAAGACGUCCACCCCCCUCCACACCACACACCUACCACCAUCUCCAGCGACGUGCCCAGCCCCGUGUGGGACAGCCCAAUUGUCCCGGGACCCUUCAGUGGGGCAGCAGACACAGACGAGAUCACUACCAUCCUCACGUGUCUGACUGGAUCAGCAUGGGGCUGGAGCACAACCCUCUGGCAGCAGGGAGAGACAGACAGGAGUUUUCGGGACUUCCAACAGAGACUGAGGGCGGAGUUUGAUCGGCCUGAGCCAGGGAUCGAACUCUGCCCCUCCACCACAUCCAGUGCCAGUCAGGAUCCGGGGCAAGAAGACCCAGCACUGGUGGGCGACGAGAAGGUCGCUCCUCCCGAGAUCCUGGCUGUGCCCCCUGAGGAGGUCCCGGAGAGCCCAGAGAGGGAGCCAGACGACCCUCUCUUCUGUCUGUCUCUGUCUGUGUGUGUCUGUGUGGCAUAUGUGUCCGUAUGUCGCCCCCACUUCCCCUCUUUGUGUCCACCAGAUGGCGACCCAGCCGCGGAGCCGAACCCCAGGGAGGAGGUUCCUGACCCGAAUGAGCUGGUCCAAGGCGAGGUGGACAAGCCCCAAGGUACCCCUAAGUCCAGCCGGGGGGGGUGCUCCCCCAAAUAAUUUUUUGGGGGGGUGCAGUUCAGGUUGGGGACUCCUCC